GUGAGUCAUCGAAUCUUUGAACGCACCUUGCGCUCCUUGGCAUUCCGAGGAGCAUGCCUGUUUGAGUGUCAUGAAUUCAUCAACCCCGAAGGGAUUUUUUGUCCCUCUCGGUGGCUUGGACUUGGGGGAUUCUUUGCUGGCCUUCGAUCGGUCGGCUCCCCUUGAAUGCAUUAGCUUGGACUUGUCCUGGCGACGUCAUAGCGUGAUAACUAUCUACGCUUUGAACCGUCUGCUGGUACCUCGUCGGUCUGGCUUCCAAUCGUCUUCGGACAAAUUACCAUUCAUUUUGACCUCAAAUCACGGUAGGUACUACCCGCUGAACUUAAGCAUAUCAAUAAGCGGAGG
rnacentral:rRNA from 1 species